UUAUGAUUAUAUAAUGAACAGAAAUUACAGAGAUUAUUUUUUACUGUGUUUAAUAGAUAAUUCGUAUUUAUUUAAACAGGUGUCCAACAUUCACAGCCUUCCAGUGAUUCUUUGGUUUUGGCAGUAGUGAAACAAGUAAAAGUUAGCAGUAUGGAGGAAGCUAAAUUAGACCUUCCUGAAGAAGACCUAACAGCCAGAGUAAAUGAAGAAAAGGAGGCUCAGAAGGAGGAAAUGCUAUGCCUUCAGACGUACAGUAUGAAACUGAACUCGGACAGAGAAGGAUCCAGACUGACCAACCAUCUUUUCUGCUCUUGGAGGGGAGGCUAAGCCUGACACAUAGGUCCUGCCUCCAGUACCUCCCAAAUGAAAAUAAAGGGACAAAGACAGCAGAAGAACAGACAACAGCUGCAGAAUUUUGGAAGCCAGAGUCAGAUGGGUGAGGGGACAUGGACUUCCCUGACCUGAUAUAGUUAAAUUCGACAUUGCUAUUCAUUGUUGUGGGUCGAGUAGUGUCCCCCUAAAGCUCAUGUCCACCCGGAACCUCACCAGGUGAUCUAAUUCAGAAAUAGAAUUUUGCAGAUGUAAUUAGUUAAGUUAAAAUGAGGUUUGAGAGCACCUGGGUGGCUCAGUGGUUGAGCAUCUACCUUUGGCUCAGGUCAUGAUCCCGGGGUCCUGGGAUCGAGUCCCACAUUGGGCUCCCCACAGGGAGCCUGCUUCUCCCUCUGUGUCUCUGCAUGUCUCUCAUGAAUAAAUAAAUAA
rnacentral:lncRNA from 1 species